UACGGAGGGGGCGAGCGUUGUCCGAAGUUACUGGGCGUAAAGCGCGCGUAGGCGGGUUGGGAAGUCCGCUGUGAAAGCCCGGAGCUUAACUCCGGAGGGUCGGUGGAUACUGCCAGUCUUGAAGGUGCUAGGGGGAGAUGGAAUUACCGGUGUAGCGGUGAAAUGCGUAGAUAUCGGUAGGAACACCAGUGGCGAAGGCGGUCUCCUGGGGCAUUCUUGACGCUGAGGCGCGAAAGCUGGGGGAGCAAACGGG
rnacentral:rRNA from 1 species